CCUUUAAAAAUCGCACAACAGGGCGGAAGGAGAGAAAUAGUCAUUCCUGGCCCACUGAGUUGACUGGACCUUGAUCGGUGUUGUUUGGAAUCCCCGUCAGUAUUCCGGUGCGGCUAUACGGUGGCGAUGCAUUUGUCCAUGGCAGUGGAUAGAACAUAAGUGGCUAAGGUGGAGAAAAGCAAUACAUAUAAAGGUGUGCUGAAUUGCCGGAAGAGAUAU